rnacentral:piRNA from 1 species
UAUAGGUAGAUAAAAACAAGUGAAAAAGCA